rnacentral:rRNA from 1 species
GAUGAACGCUGGCGGCGUGCUUAAUACAUGCAAGUCGAGCGAACAGACGAGGAGCUUGCUCCUCGGACGUUAGCGGCGCACGGGUGAGUAACACGUGUAUACCCUACCUAUAAGACUGGGAUAUCUUCGGGAAACCGGCGCUAAUACCGGAUAAGAUAUUGAACCGCGUGGUUGGAUGGUGAAAUACGGCGUUGCGGUCAGUUAUAGAUGCAUCCGGGCCGCAUUAGCUGGUUGGGAAGGUAACGGCUUAUCAAGGCAACGCUGCGUAGACGAGCGGAGGGGGGGGUAGGCCGCACUAGAAGUGGAACACGGACCAGGGUCCUACGGGAGGCAGCAGUAGGCAAUCUUCCGCAGUGGGCGAAAGCUUGACGCAGCAACGCCGCGUGUGUGAUGAAGGCCUUCGGAUCGUAAAAAUCUGUUAUUAGUGAAAAACAAAUGUGUAAGUAACUAUGCACGUAUUGACGGUACCGGGUAAGAAAGCAACGGCUAACUACGUG